UCGUGCUAGACGGGGCGCUAGCGGUGCCCUGCACCCGAAAUCCGCUACAUGCGGGGUCGAAUUCCCUUCCGAGGGUUCGUUUGCCCGGAGACUGUGGGGCGGAGCGGCGUUGAUGGUUGGGUCCUGUGCGGCGGGGGCCUGUGAACCGUGUCAGGACCGAGAGGUAGCAGCACUAAGCAGUUUCCUCAGGUGCCACGGGGUCGCCUGGCCUGAGCAAGCUGGUACCAGCAAGCCCGGGUAACAAUUCUGAAGAAGGGUGCACGA
rnacentral:SRP_RNA from 1 species